GAUGAACGCUGGCGGCGUGCCUAAUACAUGCAAGUCGAGCGAACAGACGAGGAGCUUGCUCCUCUGACGUUAGCGGCGGACGGGUGAGUAACACGUGGAUAACCGACCUAGAAGACUGGGAUAACUUCGGGAAACCGGAGCUAAUACCGGAUAAUAUAUUGAACCGCAGGGUUCAAUAGUGAAAGACGGUUUUGCUGUCACUUAUAGAUGGAUCCGCGCCGCAUUAGCUAGUUGGUAAGGUAACGGCUUACCAAGGCAACGAUGCGUAGCCGACCUGAGAGGGUGAUCGGCCACACUGGAACUGAGACACGGUCCAGACUCCUACGGGAGGCAGCAGUAGGGAAUCUUCCGCAAUGGGCGAAAGCCUGACGGAGCAACGCCGCGUGAGUGAUGAAGGUCUUCGGAUCGUAAAACUCUGUUAUUAGGGAAGAACAAAUGUGUAAGUAACUAUGCACGUCUUGACGGUACCUACUCAGAAAGCCACGGCUAACUACGUG
rnacentral:rRNA from 1 species